rnacentral:rRNA from 1 species
AGUGAACGCUGGCGGUAGGCCUAACACAUGCAAGUCGAACGGCAGCACCGUAAGAGCUUGCUCUUACGGGUGGCGAGUGGCGGACGGGUGAGGAAUACAUCGGAAUCUACUUUUUCGUGGGGGAUAACGUAGGUAAACUUACGCUAAUACCGCAUACGACCUACGGGUGAAAGCAUGGGAUCUUCGGACCUUGCGCGAUUGAAUGAGCCGAUGUCGGAUUAGCUAGUUGGCGGGGUAAAGGCCCACCAAGGCGACGAUCCGUAGCUGGUCUGAGAGGAUGAUCAGCCACACUGGAACUGAGACACGGUCCAGACUCCUACGGGAGGCAGCAGUGGGGAAUAUUGGACAAUGGGCGCAAGCCUGAUACAGCCAUACCGCGUGGGUGAAGAAGGCCUUCGGGUUGUAAAGCCCUUUUGUUGGGAAAGAAAAGCAGCAGGUUAAUACCCCGCUGUUCUGACGGUACCCAAAGAAUAAGCACCGGCUAACUUCGUG